rnacentral:rRNA from 1 species
CCCCUUGAAAGAGAGCGCCNACNAGGGUGAGAGUCCCGUUUGUCAAUCUGCAGCCCUCCGUACACGGCUUGCACUUGCAGAGUCACGUUCCUCGGGAUUGGAGCGCAAAGUGGGUGGUAAAUUUCAUCUAAAGCUAAAUACGUGUUUGAGACCGAUAGCACACAAGUACCAUGAGGGAAAGAUGAAAAGGACUUUGAAAAGAGAGUUAAAAGUGCCUGAAAUUGCUGCAAGGGAAGCGGAUGGAACCAGUCCACACGGUGAGAUUGUUGGGCGGAGGCGAAAGGAGUUACACUUUCAACGCAAGUGUGAGUGUGAGUUCUGGUCGUCUCUCGCCCGGUGGUUCUUGCCGUGGGGGUCAUUGGUGAUUGGUGGCCGAGGAUACCUGCAAAGGCAUGGUAGCCCGUCCCCGGGUGGGUGAACGCGUUUGUUAGUACUCGGCCGCUGAUCAUGUGAGUGGUGUCCGGUAACCGACGACCGACUUCGGUGGCUCAGCCGCUUGAGUUAAUCGUGGGUCCUGACACACGCCUACGACCAAAUGGUUCUUUCCGACCCGUCUUGAAACACG